CAAUAGCGUAUAUUAAAGUUGUUGCGGUUAAAAAGCUCGUAGUUGGAUUUCUGCCGAGGACGACCGGUCCGCCCUCUGGGUGUGUAUCUGGUUUGGCCUGGGCAUCUUCUUGGAGAACGUAGCUGCACUUGACUGUGUGGUGCGGUGUCCAGGACUUUUACUUUGAGGAAAUUAGAGUGUUUCAAGCAGGCACACGCCUUGAAUACAUUAGCAUGGAAUAAUAAGAUAAGACUUUGGUGGUCUAUUUUGUUGGUUUGCACGCCAAAGUAAUGAUUAAUAGGGAUAGUUGGGGGUAUUCGUAUUCUAUUGCUAGAGGUGAAAUUCUUAAAUUUAUGGAAGACGAACUACUGCGAAAGCAUUUACCAAGGAUGUUUUCAUUAA
rnacentral:rRNA from 1 species